UUUUAACUGAGCGUUCAGUUACUUGACGUAGACCCGAAACCGGGCGACCUACCCAUGAGCAGGAUGAAGCGAAAGUAAAAUUUCGUGGAGGGCCGAACCCACGAGCGUUGAAAAGCUCGGGGAUGACGUGUGGGUAGCGGUGAAAUUCCAAUCGAGCCCGGAGAUAGCUGGUUCUCCCCGAAAUAGCUUUAGGGCUAGCCUCAAGGUGAGAGAUACGGA
rnacentral:rRNA from 1 species